rnacentral:lncRNA from 1 species
CUUGCUUGUUAUUAUAUCAAUUAUUUCAUGGAAAUUAUACAGCAGACGUAUGUCGUGUUAAAUGACACAUUGUUUUAAGAAAAGAGUCAUUACUUUAUACCAAGAAAUCUGCCUUUCUUCAUAAAAAAUGUAAACAUUCGUCUGAGAUUUCCCACAAUGCAACUCGUUGAUAUGAGACAAUAUCGCUCUUUGAUAUAAGAAAAGUUUUUAUCAAAUCGCUUCUUCCAUAGACUGCAAAUGUACUGAUGAAACACUUCUCGAUACCUAAACGAAUCACAGGUGCCGACCGUAUAGCUGUCAUUUCACAUAUAAAUAAUAACACUGUCAAAUGUACUGAUGACACACUACUCGAU